CGCUGGCAACUCAGGCAGUGGAGAUUAAUAAAUACGUCUGCUUCAUUGUUGGUCCGCUGAUGUCUCAAGAAAGAGAGAACAUCGAAGGAGCUGCGAAACGUGAAUGCUACUGUGUGGACUCAUUUCGUAUGCAGAAUUGCGCGUCACUUCGCAUCUAUAGGUUGGCAGAUUCUAUCCUGGAUGGCUUAUAUCUUGAAGGACUCAGAAUUCACACAGACUUUUUAUAGAAUUCGGUCUAUUUUGACGGUUAUUCUUCACAUUUUUCGAAUGGAAAUUUAACUUGAAAUUAGGAAUCUCCGAGGGCUAUUUAGUUUGAAACCUCAUCUCCUUGAAGCUGAAAAUUCGUCAUUAUGGCUGUGUAAUAAUACAACGAUUCUAAGGGACUUCUGUUUUUUCCUUCGAGGCAGUGUGUUGACAUUCGGUUUUUGUGUCUCCGGUUCUAAUAUCAUGCAGUAGGAAUUAAAAUUCAUAAAUAGGAAUAUUUCAGUUUAUAUUUGCAAAUCGUCAUGUGAACAAAUAUAAAUUUUGUCGGGAACAAAAUUUAAGUCGUGGACUUUUAGAUCUUUUUUUUUUUAUUUUGUGAAAUUGUUAUUGUCUUAAUGUACCUAUUUUUUUCAAUUUUAAUUUCUACGUGAUUCUCGGGAGUGUUCGAAUAUACUUAAAACCGCGUACGUUCAAUAAAAAAGUAUUUAAUAUAAUUGUUUAGUAUUUUCGGGAGUGUUCGAAAUUUCUAAAAUCGCGAGUGUUUCAUGAUUCUCUGGAAAGCAAGUCUGUGCAGCCUCAGGAUGGAGUUCGAGCACG